rnacentral:lncRNA from 1 species
CUAUAUAUAUAUAUAUUUGUAGUAUGUACACAUAAUAUCCUGAUGAUAACAUUAACAUUUACACUCGCCCACUACACCUUCCACUGGGGUAUCUUCUUGUGCGGACGUUCAGAAUCCCGGUCAUAUAACCAGGCAGGACUGGUGGGGUUGGGGGUAUCUUGCCCCCCCCUCUAGUUCCAAGGAUCUGUGAUGGUUUCGGUAUCCCAAGGACUGAUUUAUACCGUGUAUCGAUGAGACUUCCACAUCAGAUACUGUAUAUGUGAAUAUAAGAUCAGUUUCGCAGAUCUUGUACCAUUGCAAAACUGUGACCACAGACAGCAUCAUGUGUAUCAACUAGUUUAACUGGAAAAUGUUUUUCUUUUUUCCCUUCCUCUCAUUAUUUUGUCAGAAUUUCAAUGAUAUUAAAUUUCAUUGACACGUUACCAUGGGGUUGAUGAAAAAAGGGAGGGGUGUGCCAGCCAUGCCACACGGUUAUAAUUAAUGGGUCUUGCACAUUUACUAUUUGGAUGGGAGAGUUACACCUUUAAUGAAUUAUUUAUUUCAUGGACAUUGAUUGAUAGGUGUUGUGAAGAUCAUGUCCUUUUUGAGGUUAACUUGUUUGAUAGGGUUGGCUUCUUAAUAUAACCUAGCUGUGGUUGUUAAAAAGAUACAACUUGAAUGAGCGAGGUUUGAAGAGCACAGGAAAGGUUAAUACAUGGAGGAAAAUCGUGCACUUGGUGGUGGGUGUGGCAUUGACUGGGUGGCAGGGCGUCAUUCUUUGGGCAGGGCUCUCAUUUCUCUGGAUGUCGUGUGACAUAUAUAUAUAUAUAUAUAUAUAUACACACACGGAUUCAUCCUCCAUUACCCUGACUCACCCUAAUUCAGCCUAACACAACCUGCACCUCUUUCUUUCUCCCCCCUCCCCCCAUCGCAGGUUGUUCUGAACUUAUUGCAGCAUCAUGAAUCCAGACAAGAAAUGCGGUACAAGUAAGCCUCCAUGUGAGCCUGCACAGCAGCCGCCCUAUAUUGCAGUUUGCCCACCUGGGCCUCCUUGUCCAACCGUUUGCCCUUUUCCACCAAUGAAACUUGUUGGUGAUAAGACAGUGUGCCCACCUGGGUUUAUUGAUCCAGGUGAUGGAAAUUAUCCUCCUCAACCAGUGGGAUUUUGUGGUACUGCUGAAUGGAUGAAUAGGCAGAAGGAAAAAAAGGAAAGGAAGAAGCAGAAGAAGGCAUUGAAAAAGUUGAGGAAGGAAAAGAACAAGAAGCUUGAAGAGUGUGACAAUGGCCUGACUGCCAAAGAAAAUGAAUUCUUCAACAGGACGAAAUUGGAAAUAAAGAUUUUGAAAACCAAGAUGAAGCAAGCCAAGAGAAGGAACAAGGGGGGAUCCGGCGAUGGCACAUGUGGCCUGACACCUGUCGAGAUGGAGGAGUUAACGAAGAAGAAGUCUCAAUUGAAACCUUUGAAGGAGAAGAAGAAACUUCACAAGAAAAACAAGGAGGGGCCCAGCUCGGAUGAUUCCGACACUGGCCUGACCCAAGAAGAGUAUAUAUGCUGGAAAACGUCAAAGACUGAAAAGAAACUUUUGAAGAAGAAAGCAAAAAAGAGAGCAACCGACGGUACUGCUGUUGGCUUGACAUGCACUGAAAAGGAAUGUCUCGUGGAACUGGAGAAUAAAUUGAAGGUGUUGAAGAAAAAGAAAAAAGCCUUCAAGAAAAAAAACAAGCCUGCUUCGGAUUCCGAUUCCGACUCUGACGUUGGACUGAAUGCUGAGGAGUUUCAAUGCUGGAAGACAAAUAAGUGCCAAAUUAAGUGCUUGAAGAAGAAGAAGAAGCAAGCCAAAAAGGCUCAUAAAAGGGCUACCAAGGAUGCUCCAUGUGCUGGCGUCGUUGAUUUCCUGACACCCAAGGAAAUGGAAGAGAUGAAGAAUCUGAAGGCAAAGAUGAAGGCACUGAAGCAAAAGAAGAGAGAAUACAAGAAAAAGAAUAAUAUUGAGGUUUCUUCAAGUUCAAGUGACUCUGAUGAAAAUCUGACACCGGAGCAAAAGCAAUAUAAAAAGCAGAUGAAGGAGCAAGGAAAGAUGUGCAAGAAAAUGAUGAAACAGCAAAAGAAGGCUGAGAAAGGCAAAAACAAGAAGCCUGGAGAUCCCGAGUUGAGUGAUUCCUCUGAUUCAUCCUCCAGCUCUUCAAGUUCUUCCUCCUCUUCCUCCAGUGAUAAUGAGUGCGGUGCAUGUCCCACCAAAUCCAAACCACCAUGUCCCCAAAUGCAGCAAAAGUGUCCUGGGUUGCCAAAAUAGUGAUGGAGUUUUCCAAAGGGUCACACUGGCCAUUAGGUCUCGUGACCAACACACGGCCUAUUUUUGCUUUUUCAUUCAGCUUCUAAUUAGUUAGCCUUGGCUAAAAUGGGUCAGUUUUGCAACAAAAAAUAUUUUACCUUGCUUUUCUUACAGGAACAUUCAUUUUAAUCACCAAAAACAAUCAUUAACUUUCUCAAUGCUGGUGAGUUUCUGUUUUAACGAUUUUUUUUUACCUCUCUCAUAAGAUGAGUUGAAACCCUUGAAAGGCUGAGUUUGGAAGUUGAAAGAAUAAUGUUGUACUGCUUGAUCCAACAGACUUGUGUUUUAAAAACUCCAGUUAUAAAAUGCUGAAAGAUACAAGAAACUUUUUUUUCUGAAAGACAUGUUCAGAAGUUUGCCGUUUUGACCACGGAGUGGUCUUUAACUGAGACGAAGCAGGACAUAUUGUAGCCAAACUCUGACUAUACCCCUUGAGAGAGGCUGAGGUGUGGGGGGGGGGGAUCCAAUGUCAAAAGAAGGAAGGGGUAGGAAAGAGGAACAUGAGAAAGGAGAAAAGGAAGAAGAGUUGGGUUGAAAGGAAUGAACGGGGCAGCUGAAACCAGAUACACUCACCCCACUCUCUUUUCUCCUUCACUCCUAUCAACUACUCCAAUUUCCCCCCACUGCCACUUUCCUCAACCUUCCCCCUUCACUCUCUUCUUCAUUCAUCCACCAUUUCCCUCCCCUUUCUCACAAUCCUUUGGUCUGCCACCAGCUCAGCGUACCUGUCCUGCUACGUCCCAGUUGAAGUGCACUUUGUGUUCAAUACACUGAAGCUCUGAGACUUUACUGUCCAAAAAAAAAAAUUCGUUAUUUGGUGAUAUUUUGUUUUCAUUGUUUUGUAAUCUCUGCACCUUUGAAAUGUGAUCUAAACUACACUUCGUUUGUCCUUUGUCAUGCAAUCAUGAUUUAUUGUGGUGGAUUAUUCAGGAUUAUAUGGGAAUUUUUUCUGUAUCCGAGGGAAUGGUGAAAUAAACGAUUAAAACUUUAUUGCAGCAUCUUAUUCAAACAAAUAAAUUCUUAUCGAACUUUGUUUCUUAUUUGGAUACUUCAGUUACAAGGUAAAUGGAAGAGCUAGUUGACAAAGGGUAAAAUAUAAUGUACUGAUAGGACAGUGUGGCAACAGUCAGACAUGAUGAGGAAAGACAAUAACUGGCAAGUAAGAGGGUUAGGCUCUGAUUUUGAUGGAACAUACUCUGUCACAGAGCAUUGGUGCUGUUAAAGUAGUUUAUUGGCAAUAGUUAUACUAGGU